UGGAGAUCCUGGGUAUCAAUCCUAGUACCUCUCACAUGCUAAGUGAGCGCUCUACCAUCUGAGCUACAUCCCC